rnacentral:misc_RNA from 1 species
GAUGAAGAACGCAGCGAAGUGCGAUAAGUAGUGUGAAUUGCAGAAUUUCGUGAAUCAUCGAAUCUUUGAACGCAAAUUGCACUCUCCGGUUUUCCGGGAGAGUAUGCCUGUUUGAGGGUCAGCCUAAAUAAAUUCGGCUUCGUUGCUGUGUUUCGCGGUAACGUUUUAGUCGGAAUUUGGGUCAUCUUAAACCGAAAGGUCUUAAGCGACUUAAAAAUUUUUUUUACGAUCCCACGAACGUUUCUAAGAUCUUCUUACAUGUUCAAGGUGUCGAAUACCCUAUUAGUCGUGACCGUCGUAUUGGAUCGCGUCCAUAAUAUUUAUUCUUUAACUGACCUCAGACAGGUAAGAGUACCCGCUGAACUUAAGCAUAUCAAUAAGCGGAGGA